rnacentral:rRNA from 1 species
GACGAACGCUGGCGGCGUGCCUAAUACAUGCAAGUCGAACGCACAGUUUAUACCGUAGCUUGCUACACCAUAGACUGUGAGUUGCAAACGGGUGAGUAACGCGUAGGUGACCUGCCUGGUAGCGGGGGAUAACUAUUGGGAACGCUAGCUAAUACCGCAUCAUAUUAAUUAUUGCAUGAUAAUUAAGUAAAAGGUUCAAUUGCACCACUACCAGAUAGUCCUGCGUUGUAUUAGCUAGUAGGGGAGGUAACGGCGCACCUAGGGGACGAUACAUAGCCGACCUGCGAGGGUGGUCGGCCAACCCUGGACGGAGAACCGGCCCCAAAUCCUACGGGAGGCAGCAGUAGGGAAUCUUCGGCAAAGGAGGGAAGUCUGACCGAGCAACGGCGAGUGAGUGAAGAAGGUUUUCCGAUCGGAAAGCUCUGUUGUAAGAGAAGAACGGGUGUGAGAGUGGAAAGUUCCCACUGUGACGGUACCUUACCAGAAAGCGACGGCUAACUACGUG